GGAUGUGAGGGCAAUCUGGCUGUGAUAUCUGUCACCCCAUAGAUCACCAGGGUAUAUUCUGCUCAUCUGGCUGGCUAGGUUGAUGUCUCUUUGCUCCCUCCCCAUUCCAAGUGCAUCCCUUCCAAGCUGCUUGCUAGGUCAAAGAAGAUUGAACUUUCCUGAUAGAAUAUGUGGUGUGUAUACACAAUGGAUUAUUACUUUAAUUCAACCCUCAAUAUAUU
ensembl:misc_RNA 7SK 7SK RNA